rnacentral:lncRNA from 1 species
ACGCAAUGGUGCCAAGACAGGUGGCGGAGAGCUAAUGGAUGUCAGAUGAUGAUAUUGCAAGGAUGACUUCGAUUAAACUAUGAUUAAUUAAAUAGAAUCGCAGCCCAAGGAUCCCCCCCCGGAAUGGACUGGACGUGGGAUGGGGAACGGCAACAAACAGCGACUCUUCGAUCGGUCUCGAUUUUGAUUUUAUUUCCCUCCUCGCGCAUAAUGCGCAACACGUCCCGUUAGCCAUUGCAAUUGCUGUACAGCAGUUCUCUUCUUUUUCUCUUUUUUUUUUUUACUUUUUUCGCGCUUACAAUACGCACCACGUGCACCGCGUGCACCUUCAGACGGGUCGCAUUCAAAACUCGGGCAAGACUCGCGCUCGCCGCCGCUAUUUUUAUUUAUAAUACGCCAGUCGAGCCGCGUAUUUUCAAAACCCGCUGGAUUUCCUCCCCUCCCCUUCCCACCCCCUCCAGGAAUCCGCGCACAAGAGCCGAGAGUCCGGGUGAACACUUGCGACCGAGGUCCGAUUAACUUGACCCGGCUUGAUGCCAGUGGGCUGUUUUAUUGAUACAGAAUUAUGGAUUUUGCGUUGUAUAGAGAGAAGAGAUCGAAUCGGGGCUUAGCUAAAAAAAAUUCUGCCUCCGCGAUUGUAUUCGGCCGCCGACUAAAUUAAUCGGCCGAUUAAGUUAAUCGGAACUCGACUGGAGGACAUUCUUCGAGCGUCGGUCAUUGCGAAGCUGAUAUUGACUGUAAACUUCAAUUCUCUUUAUUGUAGAGGAUUCCCUCUGCUAGUCGAAUUAUCGACUGUUCUCGCUUUUCCGACGAGAAAUCUUCGCUAAUAUUCAAUAUAUAAAAUAAAUAAAUAAAUAAAUAACGAUUCUUGAUCACUCAGAAAUAUAAUGAUAUUUUAUUGACGACAACUGCGUGGCAUCUCGAGUGCUCAUUCGAUAUCGAAGACGCCAAGCACACAAUUCUUCAAACAAAUCUCGUCACAUAAAAAAUACCGCUUCUAUACUUUCUGUACACUUUAUCUAAAAUAAAGAAGGAAGUUCUUUAUUCCUAUCUCGCGAGAGAGAGGGGGAUGCACAUGCUCUCGUCUCGACGAGAUAGUAGCGGGUGUUGAAAACGAGCGUCUCGUUCGAUAUACAAUCGGUACGGUUAUUGUUGAGGAUAAAAUCGCGCGCGAGCCGCCCGCGAAUUACGCGAGUUACGCUUUCGUUAUUAUCGUAAACAAAUAAAUAAUUUAUUCUUCUCGCACGAGUGUAUACUCCCUUCGGCUCGCGCACGUCCAAGUCGCCGAUCCGACUUGCGUGAGCUCAGCCUUUUCUUAUAUUAUACGCCUUACGAUUAGUAUUAUUUAACAUUUAAGAGUCGUUAUGGAAGAUUGAAGUGCAUCGCCUUCGUCUCUCACGCGCCUCCCUGCUUAAUUAAUCUCGCUCAAUCAAUUAAAUCUCACGAAAGAAGAACGUCCUUGAAGCUCGGGAAGGAUCGGAGGUAAGGAGUUUGUAAAAAAUCUGAUUUUGCUCCUUCCUUUUUUACGUUUUACUUAAGGAGUUUGUCGUGAUUUUCAGGAAGGGACGCAACGAGAGGAAAUGUCGUCGAGUUCAAUUCCUCAGCACGGAGUCGCUGUAUAUUUAUAACCGACGCGAUAUCAUGGAAGACGACUGAUAUCACUUACUGGAAAGUCCAAAAUGUCAUCGACGCCUGCGGGCCAUCGAUAAGAGAGCGCCGGUCGCGAUUUACGGGGAAGCACUGUUUUCAAGCUUAGGAAGUUCACCUCUAAUUUUUUUUUCUUUCUUCUCGAGGACUCUUUUUCGCUCUCUUUUAGGACUGCUAUUAAUAACAUCGCGCGAUAAUAAACUCUAGUCCGCAAACUUUAUUAUUGGCACAACAUUUGAAUUCCGGAUAAGAUUAAGAUUUUUUCCUCUACGUUUUCUCCUCGUAGAUUCUAAAAUAGUAUAAAAUACUUUAUUUAUGGCUAUAUAUACCAGCUUGAUAUAUUUCUUAACGAUAUCAUUGGAAUUGCGUGAAAGAUUUCAUAACAACUGCAGGAUUUUUUCCGAUCUUUUCCUAAUUUCCUUCAAAGAUUUUAGGAAUCGGCUUCUCACACGCACGUAACUGAUUGCGCGUGUGCGGGAUUCUUCCUUCACGAGACCUAAAAUUCGUACGCUUUUUACUCGUUAACAAUUUGCAGAGCCAAAAUUCAGUUUAUGCUUAUAUAAAUUCAAAUUUAUACAAUAAUUUGUAGAGAUGCAAGGACAAAGGAAGAUUCUUCAGAGGGAAAACACGCAUGCGACGCGAUCACAGUGUGGCUCUUGCUAAAAAAUCUCGGUAGGUUCUCUCUUUUGAUUAUAUAUCCAUUCGCAAUUAAAAACUCUUUGUUAAGUAUGUAUAUGUUUCUUAAAUUAACUCGAGACUGAUUUUUCAGAUUAAUUAAGCGGGAGAUAAGUACGAGGCGGGGUUCCGCUUCGAACCAGAGCUCGGAGAAUAAUAUCUUCCGCUAGUGCACGCUCUACGAGGUGAUUCCCUCGACUUUGCGGCCGUGUUAUCCCGCAAGGAAGAGUGUAUACGCGUGGACGCGUUUGUACACUUAAAAAAAAAAA